rnacentral:rRNA from 1 species
UACAGAGGGUGCGAGCGUUGUCCGGAAUCACUGGGCGUAAAGGGCGCGUAGGUGGCGACCCAAGUCGAUGGUGAAAGCUCGCCGCUCAACGGCGAGUCGGCCACCGAUACUGGGUUGCUGGAGCACUGUAGAGGCUCAUGGAAUUCCGGGUGUAGCGGUGGAAUGCGUAGAGAGUCCGGGAAGAACACCGGUGGCGAAGG